rnacentral:misc_RNA from 1 species
AUUAUAUCGCAUAUCUCCCGUUAGCAACCCCCUUACGCCGUUCUUGGCACGGAGGGAGAGGGAAGCACGUCUGUCUUUCGCUGGUUUGUUAGCUUACAUUUGUGUGUGUGUGUGGGUCUGUUUCUUGCCGCCCGCUCUGCUGGCUUCGUGUGCGUCUGCUGCCUUUCCUAUUUUCUGUUUGGCAUCUCUCACCUCGACCACCCCACCCCCAGUCUCUUCCCCGGCUCCUCUUCUCCGCUGGCAGCCAUGUCGAUGACAAAGAGCGUCAAACUGGAGAACCCGUAUGUGCCCUCCGGGUAUCACCUGCGCGUUGCGGUGGAUCUUUCCACGUGGAGCUACGCAGCGGUGGAAACGGUGCACCUGCAGCGCUGUCCUGCCUUCCCGGACUGCGACACGAUCCAGCUGCAUGCAGCCCCGUCGAUCGAGGUGACGUCAGUGAAAGGCGCCACUCUGGUACGGCGCGACAACACGGCGCACACGCUUGUGCUGAAGCUGGACGCGGAGACAAUGGCGUUGGCAGACCCGACGUUGCAGUUUGAGUUCACGCAUGUAAUCCAAAAGGAGCUGCGCGGCUUCUACCAGGUGAACUUCAAGCAUAAUGGAAAGCAGCACCGUAUGGCCUCCACGCACUUCGAGCCCGUGUCAGCGCGACUCUUCUAUAUUUGCCACGACGAGCCGGCGCAGCGCGCGGAUUUCACGCUGACCGUGACGCUGCCAAAGUCGGAGGAGCACUACGUCGUCCUUUCUAACGGCCCUCUGACGUCGAAGACUGUGAAAGGGGACACCGUGGUGCACACCUUUCAAACAGUGCCCAGGUGCCCGCCGUACCUGACAGCCUGUGUCGUCGGUGAGCUGGAGCACAUCAGCACCGUCGUCAACGGCAUCCCGGUCAGCGUGUACGCGACGCUGGGCAAGGUGGGACGGGCGCAGUUUGCCCUCAGCACCACCGUGUUUGCUCUUGAGUUCUUUGAGAAGUUCUUCCAGUGCAAGUACCCGCUACCAAAGCUGGACGUCGUUGCCAUUCCCGACUUCCCGAUCGGUGGGAUGGAGAACUGGGGCUGCAUCACGUGCGCUGAGGCGAUACUGGUGGACCCGCAGCAGUCAAGCGUGGAGGCGAAGCGCGGCACGUCGAACCUGGUAUGCCACGAAGUCUCGCACAACUGGUUUGGUAACCUUGUUGCCAUCAACUGGUGGGAGGGUCUGUGGCUCAAGGAGGGCUUUGCGUCGUGGUGUGGCUACCACGCGACGCACGCGUACGCGCCACAGUGGAACGCUCUGGACGCUGCGGCGCUGCAGGUGGUGUCGGCGCUGAACGACGACAUAUACGAGUACAGUCACCCAGUUGAGGUGCCCAUCCACGAUCCUGGAGAUAUUACCCAGAUCUUCGACAGCAUCAGCUACAACAAGGGCAUGGGCCUGGUUUUCAUGUUGCAGGCGUUCCUUGGCGAUAAGUGGGAAUCUGCCGUCGCACACUACAUCGGAAAGCACCAGUUCGGGGACACCAAAACGGUGCAACUCUGGGAGGCGCUCGAGGAGUCGUCCAAGCUGCCCAUCACCGAGGCCCUCACCAGCUUCACCACGCAGAUGGGCUACCCAAUGAUCCACGUGGCCAGACAGGACGAGAACACCAUCGUGGUGACGCAAGAACCAUGCCGCUUCGUCACGGCGUCGGCGAAGAGUAUGCGGACGUGGUGCGUGCCGCUUGUCGUGGAGGGCAUCGACCCUGCCGCUGGGCGUGCGACACCGAUGCUGCGCUGCGACAACUCCAUGGAGGUGACCCUGCCGGCCGGCAUUGCGAAGGGGGCCUUUGCCAACGCCAACCCGCGCCGUACCGGCUUCUACCGCUGCCGGUACGACAACGCUAUCUUCGAUGCAUGGCUCGCCAACUACAGCCAGCUUUCCCCUGCCGAUCGCCGCUCCCUCUUUUCCGACACGCUGGCUGCGAUUCGGAUGGGCUACGAUGACAUUCCGCGGCUGGCGAGGAUCGCGAAGGCCGUUUCGGCGUUCGAGAAGGAUAUCUAUGUGCUGCGAGAGUACAUGCAGACCAUGGGUACCUUCCUCCGCUCUUUCGACGAUGCUUCUCUGACAAAGAGCCUGACCAAGGAGCUGCAUGGUUUCCUCAUCCCUGUCGCCGAGUCCUUUAUAGGAGUCAGCCCGCAGGACGACAGCGCGUCGCUGCGCCGCAACUUUUACCUCGACGCCAGUAUCUCCACUCUGCUGAACAGCUGGGAGCCGGCGGAGGUCUCUGCGCACCCGGUGAUCCAGUGGGCUCUGCAGCAGGCACAGGACUUCCUCUCCGGGGCAGGUUUCAACGCUGGCACGCUCAGCUCCUGCCUACGUGCCUGGGUUCGCAUGGCCGACCCCGCCGACCUUCCAGCGCGCAACGCGCAGCUGUACGCGAAACUGCAGGAGGUGGACGGCAACGAGGAGCUGUGCCGUUCGCUGGUCCUGGCCAUGACGAGCGGCGCCUCAGUUGACUUUGCGCUGGACAUCAUGAAAAAAUGCAUCGAGAACGACGGCGUCCGCAGCCAAUACGGCGGGCAAGUCUUCUGGAGCCUCGCGUCGAAUCCAGCGAUCUCGGGCGCGGAGGUGUGGCAGGCCUUUCAGAACAACUUCGACGCAGUGAACGCGCAGUGGGGUGGCGGCCAGUUCCGUAUCCAGGCUAUUGUGGGCUUCCUGGGUGAGGCGCUCUCUGGCGAUGCUGCGGCGGACGAGUUCGAGGCUUUCUUCGAGACGCAUCCACUUCCUAAUGCCCGCCUCGCCAUCGGCCGCGCCGCUGAGGAGCUGCGCAUUCGUUCGUGGCUGAACAAAAAGUGGAAGGCUUCCCUGCCUCACGUAUUCUGCCGUCACUGACUCCAUGCGCUCACGAGCCCCAGGGAGGGGAGAGUCGAGGAUGUAACUGAACAGAGCGAGAGAAUGAUGAGGGAGAGGAGGGAGCAAAAGGGGAGGGGCGGGCCGUGAGCUGGAGGAGUAGUAAGCGGACGUACGUGCGUGCCAGCGCGUUUGAGCUGCCUCCUCGCAAAUGAGGGUGUCCCUAGUUGAUUUUUCCCACUUGCGUGAACACGUCCGCACACACGCCGGGGCAGUCGUGUAGCCGGACUGUGACACGGAAUUCUCCACGUCGCCCUCUCUUUGUGUGCUCGCCCUCUCGCAUGCACUUCUCCACCGCGCUCGCAUGUGUUCUUCCCCCCUGUCUCCUCGCACCAUUUUAG